UACGUAGGGGCCGAGCGUUGUCCGGAAUUAUUGGGCGUAAAGAGCUCGUAGGCGGCUUGUCACGUCGGGUGUGAAAGCCCGGGGCUUAACCCCGGGUCUGCAUUCGAUACGGGCUAGCUAGAGUGUGGUAGGGGAGAUCGGAAUUCCUGGUGUAGCGGUGAAAUGCGCAGAUAUCAGGAGGAACACCGGUGGCGAAGGCGGAUCUCUGGGCCAUUACUGACGCUGAGGAGCGAAAGCGUGGGGAGCGAACAGG
rnacentral:rRNA from 1 species